rnacentral:misc_RNA from 1 species
GAUGAAGAACGUAGCGAAAUGCGAUAAGUAGUGUGAAUUGCAGAAUUCAGUGAAUCAUCGAAUCUUUGAACGCACAUUGCGCCCCUUGGUAUUCCAUGGGGCAUGCCUGUUCGAGCGUCAUUUGUACCUUCAAGCUUUGCUUGGUGUUGGGUGUUUGUCCAUUCUCUUGCAGAGGGACUCGCCUUAAAGUAAUUGGCAGCCAGUGUUUUGGUUUUGAAGCGCAGCACAAGUCGCGAUUCAACGCUAUACGCCAGCUUCCACAAGCCUUUUUCACUUUUGACCUCGGAUCAGGUAGGGAUACCCGCUGAACUUAAGCAUAUCAAUAACGGAGGA